rnacentral:rRNA from 1 species
UACGAAGGGGGCUAGCGUUGCUCGGAAUUACUGGGCGUAAAGGGAGCGUAGGCGGAUAGUUUAGUCAGAGGUGAAAGCCCAGGGCUCAACCUUGGAAUUGCCUUUGAUACUGGGUGUCUUGAGUAUGGAAGAGGUGAGUGGAAUUCCUGGUGUAGCGGUGAAAUGCGUAGAUAUCGUAAGGAAGACCAGUGGCGAAGGCGGGUCUCUGGACAGUUCCUGACGCUGAGGCACGAAGGCCAGGGGAGCAAACGGG